UACCAGCACCCCGAGUGGUCGGGACGUUUUAUUGGGCCUAAAGCAUCCGUAGCCGGUUCUACAAGUCUUCCGUUAAAUCCACCUGCUUAACAGAUGGGCUGCGGAAGAUACUAUAGAGCUAGGAGGCGGGAGAGGCAAGCGGUACUCGAUGGGUAGGGUAAAUCCGUUGAUCCAUUGAAGACCACCAGUGGCGAAGGCGGCUUGCCAGAACGCGCUCGACGGUGAGGAUGAAAGCUGGGGAGCAAACCGG
rnacentral:rRNA from 1 species